rnacentral:lncRNA from 1 species
GCUUAGCCCAGCAGGGAAGAAACACAACGUCUGAAAGCACCAAAGUUUUUCAUCUUAAAAUUUUUACUACACGGGAAGGACGGACUCAUGCUUUCUCUCUGGUGCGGGCAAGAUACUGUGCAGAGCUUGAAUGCUUGUCCCAAAUCAAAUAGUAGGAAAGGCAGUAGUAAGCAAACUUGGGUGGUCUCCUAAACAUGUCUACAGCUUCCUUGCAUCCUGUGUUUGCUCUGGGUGAUGGUCCCCAUACCCAACUCCAUCAUUCAACAUUCUGCUCCGCCUUCAAGUUAGAAGUUUCCAGAUUACCUCUCCCAAGUGACUUUUUUGCAGAUCAAGAAACAAAGGCUUGGACAGGCUAUUUUAAGCAAGUCUUAAUAAGGCAAAAACAUUUUCAUGGAAACAAAAUGUUAGAAGUACAUUUAAAAGUAU